UUGGAGCAUGACCUGUAGGUCAAGGCUGAGAAAUGCCUGUUUAUUUCAGUCAGUAUCCUUCCUAGGGUACCGCAUUUCCACUUCAGGGGUGGAGAUGGAGAGUGACCGCAUUUCAGCCGUGAGUAAUUGACCGACUCCAACCACUGUAAAGGAAGUGCAGAGGUUUCUGGGGUUUUCCACCUACUACCGGAGGUUAAUCUGGGGCUUUGGUCAGGUAGCCACCUACUACCAGAGGUUUAUCUGGGGCUUUGGUCAGGUAGCCACCAACUACCGGAGGUUUAUCUGGGGCUUUGGUCAGGUAGCCACCUACUACCGGAGGUUUAUCUGGGGUUUUGGUCAGGUAGCCACCUACUACCAGAGGUUUAUCUGGGGCUUUGGGGAGGUAGCGGCUCCCAUUACCUCACCGCUGAAGGGGGGACCGGUGCGUUUGCAGUGGUCGGCUGAGGCGGACAGGGCUUUUGGUCACCUGAAGGCUCUGUUUACCUCGACUCCGGUGCUGGCUCAUCCGGAUUCCUCUUUGGCGUUCACAGUGGAGGUGGACGAGUCCGAGGCUGGGAUAGGAACCGUGCUCUCUCAGCACUCGGGUACGCCACCAAAGCUCCGCCCCUGUCCCUUCUUCUCAAAGAAGCUCAGCCCGGCGGAGCAGAACUAUGACGUGGGGGACCAGGACCUGUUGGCUGUCGUCAAGGCC
ensembl:lncRNA